UACGGAGGGGGCAAGCGUUGUUCGGAAUUACUGGGCGUAAAGGGCUUGUAGGUGGCUUGUUAAGUCAGACGUGAAAUCCCUCAGCUUAACUGGGGAACUGCGUCUGAUACUGGCGAGCUUGAGUGCAGGAGAGGAACGCGGAAUUCCAGGUGUAGCGGUGAAAUGCGUAGAUAUCUGGAGGAACACCGGUGGCGAAGGCGGCGUUCUGGACUGCAACUGACACUGAGAAACGAAAGCCAGGGUAGCAAACGGG
rnacentral:rRNA from 1 species